rnacentral:rRNA from 1 species
AGUGAACGCUGGCGGUAGGCCUAACACAUGCGAGUCGAACGGCAGCACAGUAAGAGCUUGCUCUUACGGGUGGCGAGUGGCGGACGGGUGAGGAAUACAUCGGAAUCUACUUUUUCGUGGGGGAUAACGUAGGGAAACUUACGCUAGUACCGCAUACGACCUACGGGUGAAAGCAGGGGAUCUUCGGACCUUGCGCGAUUGAAUGAGCCGAUGUCGGAUUAGCUAGUUGGCGGGGUAAAGGCCCACCAAGGCGACGAUCCGUAGCUGGUCUGAGAGGAUGAUCAGCCACACUGGAACUGAGACACGGUCCAGACUCCUACGGGAGGCAGCAGUGGGGAAUAUUGGACAAUGGGCGCAAGCCUGAUCCAGCCAUACCGCGUGGGUGAAGAAGGCCUUCGGGUUGUAAAGCCCUUUUGUUGGGAAAGAAAAGCAGCAGGUUAAUACCCCGCUGCUCUGACGGUACCCAAAGAAUAAGCACCGGCUAACUUCGUG